rnacentral:misc_RNA from 1 species
UAGAGUUUCUAAAACUCCCAACCCAUGUGAACUUACCUUUGUUGCCUCGGCGGAGCCUACCCUGUAGCUACCCUGUAAGGGCCUACCCUGUAGCGAUCCGCCGGUGGAAUUCUAAACUCUUGUUAUUUCAGUGAAUCUGAGCGUCUUAUUUUAAUAAGUCA